rnacentral:rRNA from 1 species
UACGUAGGGUGCGAGCGUUAAUCGGAAUUACUGGGCGUAAAGCGUGCGCAGGCGGCUUUGCAAGACAGAUGUGAAAUCCCCGGGCUCAACCUGGGAACUGCAUUUGUGACUGCAAGGCUAGAGUACGGCAGAGAGGGAUGGAAUUCCGCGUGUAGCAGUGAAAUGCGUAGAUAUGCGGAGGAACACCAAUGGCGAAGGCAAUCCCCUGGGCCUGUACUGACGCUCAUGCACGAAAGCGUGGGGAGCAAACAGG